AUCCUGGUCUCAGGAUCAGCGUGUGGCGGCGUGCGCUGAUACUAUGCAAAUGCAAGCGAGCAGGCAGCGAGCUUGCUCCUCUGACGUUAGCGGCGGCGAGGGUCAGUAACAGUGUGGAUAUACCUGCCUAUAUUGCCUGGGAUAGCGGGGGACACCGGAACUAAUACCGAUAUAACAUCAUACGCCGCAUGGUUCAAAACAGAAAACCGGUUUUCCUUUCACUUACUGGAUAUGCCCAGGUGGCAUUAGCUAGUUGGUAAGGUAAUGGCUCACCAAGGCAACGAUGGGUAGCCGACCUGAGAGGGUGAUCGGCCACACGGGAACUGAGACACGGCCCAGACUCCUACGGGAGGCACCAGUAGGGAAUCUUUGCGCAAUGGGGGAAAGCCUGACGCAGCCACGCCGCGUGAGUGAUGAAGGCCUUCGGAUCGUAAAGCUCUUUUAUUAAGGAAGAACAAACAUUUAAGUAACUAUGCAGGUAGGACGGUACCUCACA
rnacentral:rRNA from 1 species